rnacentral:rRNA from 1 species
CCACAAGCGUAUGCAAAAGUUGCUGCGUUUAAAAAGCUCGUAGUUGGUUUUGUUUCAGAUGGGACUUGUUUACAUGGACAAUUAUCGGAGAUUAUUGUUUGUUGCAUUUGGAUCUUCACGUUAUUAUUAGUUGCACUUAACUGUGUUGAUUAAUAUGAGCGUUAUAUUUGAAUUUGAAAAAAUCAAAGUGUUCAAAGCGACCUUUGGGACUGAAUGAUAAAGCAUGUGAUUAAGGAGGAAGACUUUUGAAUUUGCGUAAUAUAGCUUGUAAAUCAUGGUAAUGAAUAAUAGGAACAGUUGGGGGCAUUUGUAUUGCUACGUUAGAGGUGAAAUUCUUGGAUCGUGGCAAGACAAGCGAAAGCGAAAGCAUUUGCCAAGAAUGUUUCCAUUAG